rnacentral:rRNA from 1 species
GGGUUGUGAGGUUAAGCGACUAAGCGUACACGGUGGAUGCCCUGGCAGUCAGAGGCGAUGAAGGACGUGCUAAUCUGCGAUAAGCGUCGGUAAGGUGAUAUGAACCGUUAUAACCGGCGAUUUCCGAAUGGGGAAACCCAGUGUGUUUCGACACACUAUCAUUAACUGAAUCCAUAGGUUAAUGAGGCGAACCGGGGGAACUGAAACAUCUAAGUACCCCGAGGAAAAGAAAUCAACCGAGAUUCCCCCAGUAGCGGCGAGCGAACGGGGAGGAGCCCAGAGCCUGAAUCAGUGUGUGUGUUAGUGGAAGCGUCUGGAAAGGCGCGCGAUACAGGGUGACAGCCCCGUACACAAAAAUGCACAUGCUGUGAGCUCGAUGAGUAGGGCGGGACACGUGGUAUCCUGUCUGAAUAUGGGGGGACCAUCCUCCAAGGCUAAAUACUCCUGACUGACCGAUAGUGAACCAGUACCGUGAGGGAAAGGCGAAAAGAACCCCGGCGAGGGGAGUGAAAAAGAACCUGAAACCGUGUACGUACAAGCAGUGGGAGCACGCUUAGGCGUGUGACUGCGUACCUUUUGUAUAAUGGGUCAGCGACUUAUAUUCUGUAGCAAGGUUAACCGAAUAGGGGAGCCGAAGGGAAACCGAGUCUUAACUGGGCGUUAAGUUGCAGGGUAUAGACCCGAAACCCGGUGAUCUAGCCAUGGGCAGGUUGAAGGUUGGGUAACACUAACUGGAGGACCGAACCGACUAAUGUUGAAAAAUUAGCGGAUGACUUGUGGCUGGGGGUGAAAGGCCAAUCAAACCGGGAGAUAGCUGGUUCUCCCCGAAAGCUAUUUAGGUAGCGCCUCGUGAAUUCAUCUCCGGGGGUAGAGCACUGUUUCGGCAAGGGGGUCAUCCCGACUUACCAACCCGAUGCAAACUGCGAAUACCGGAGAAUGUUAUCACGGGAGACACACGGCGGGUGCUAACGUCCGUCGUGAAGAGGGAAACAACCCAGACCGCCAGCUAAGGUCCCAAAGUCAUGGUUAAGUGGGAAACGAUGUGGGAAGGCCCAGACAGCCAGGAUGUUGGCUUAGAAGCAGCCAUCAUUUAAAGAAAGCGUAAUAGCUCACUGGUCGAGUCGGCCUGCGCGGAAGAUGUAACGGGGCUAAACCAUGCACCGAAGCUGCGGCAGCGACACUGUGUGUUGUUGGGUAGGGGAGCGUUCUGUAAGCCUGUGAAGGUGUACUGUGAGGUAUGCUGGAGGUAUCAGAAGUGCGAAUGCUGACAUAAGUAACGAUAAAGCGGGUGAAAAGCCCGCUCGCCGGAAGACCAAGGGUUCCUGUCCAACGUUAAUCGGGGCAGGGUGAGUCGACCCCUAAGGCGAGGCCGAAAGGCGUAGUCGAUGGGAAACAGGUUAAUAUUCCUGUACUUGGUGUUACUGCGAAGGGGGGACGGAGAAGGCUAUGUUGGCCGGGCGACGGUUGUCCCGGUUUAAGCGUGUAGGCUGGUUUUCCAGGCAAAUCCGGAAAAUCAAGGCUGAGGCGUGAUGACGAGGCACUACGGUGCUGAAGCAACAAAUGCCCUGCUUCCAGGAAAAGCCUCUAAGCAUCAGGUAACAUCAAAUCGUACCCCAAACCGACACAGGUGGUCAGGUAGAGAAUACCAAGGCGCUUGAGAGAACUCGGGUGAAGGAACUAGGCAAAAUGGUGCCGUAACUUCGGGAGAAGGCACGCUGAUAUGUAGGUGAAGUCCCUCGCGGAUGGAGCUGAAAUCAGUCGAAGAUACCAGCUGGCUGCAACUGUUUAUUAAAAACACAGCACUGUGCAAACACGAAAGUGGACGUAUACGGUGUGACGCCUGCCCGGUGCCGGAAGGUUAAUUGAUGGGGUCAGCGCAAGCGAAGCUCUUGAUCGAAGCCCCGGUAAACGGCGGCCGUAACUAUAACGGUCCUAAGGUAGCGAAAUUCCUUGUCGGGUAAGUUCCGACCUGCACGAAUGGCGUAAUGAUGGCCAGGCUGUCUCCACCCGAGACUCAGUGAAAUUGAACUCGCUGUGAAGAUGCAGUGUACCCGCGGCAAGACGGAAAGACCCCGUGAACCUUUACUAUAGCUUGACACUGAACAUUGAGCCUUGAUGUGUAGGAUAGGUGGGAGGCUUAGAAGUGUGGACGCCAGUCUGCAUGGAGCCGACCUUGAAAUACCACCCUUUAAUGUUUGAUGUUCUAACGUUGACCCGUAAUCCGGGUUGCGGACAGUGUCUGGUGGGUAGUUUGACUGGGGCGGUCUCCUCCUAAAGAGUAACGGAGGAGCACGAAGGUUGGCUAAUCCUGGUCGGACAUCAGGAGGUUAGUGCAAUGGCAUAAGCCAGCUUGACUGCGAGCGUGACGGCGCGAGCAGGUGCGAAAGCAGGUCAUAGUGAUCCGGUGGUUCUGAAUGGAAGGGCCAUCGCUCAACGGAUAAAAGGUACUCCGGGGAUAACAGGCUGAUACCGCCCAAGAGUUCAUAUCGACGGCGGUGUUUGGCACCUCGAUGUCGGCUCAUCACAUCCUGGGGCUGAAGUAGGUCCCAAGGGUAUGGCUGUUCGCCAUUUAAAGUGGUACGCGAGCUGGGUUUAGAACGUCGUGAGACAGUUCGGUCCCUAUCUGCCGUGGGCGCUGGAGAACUGAGGGGGGCUGCUCCUAGUACGAGAGGACCGGAGUGGACGCAUCACUGGUGUUCGGGUUGUCAUGCCAAUGGCACUGCCCGGUAGCUAAAUGCGGAAGAGAUAAGUGCUGAAAGCAUCUAAGCACGAAACUUGCCCCGAGAUGAGUUCUCCCUGACUCCUUGAGAGUCCUGAAGGAACGUUGAAGACGACGACGUUGAUAGGCCGGGUGUGUAAGCGCAGCGAUGCGUUGAGCUAACCGGUACUAAUGAACCGUGAGGCUUAACCUUACAACGCCGAAG